AGUGAACGCUGGCGGUAGGCCUAACACAUGCAAGUCGAACGGCAGCACAGAGGAGCUUGCUCCUUGGGUGGCAAGUGGCAGACGGGUGAGGAAUACAUCGGAAUCUACUCUGUCGUGGGGGAUAACGUAGGGAAACUUACGCUAAUACCGCAUACGACCUACGGGUGAAAGCAGGGGAUCUUCGGACCUUGCGCGAUUGAAUGAGCCGACGUCGGAUUAGCUAGUUGGCGGGGUAAAGGCCCACCAAGGCGACGAUCCGUAGCUGGUCUGAGAGGAUGAUCAGCCACACUGGAACUGAGACACGGUCCAGACUCCUACGGGAGGCAGCAGUGGGGAAUAUUGGACAAUGGGCGCAAGCCUGAUCCAGCCAUACCGCGUGGGUGAAGAAGGCAUUCGGGUUGUAAAGCCCUUUUGUUGGGGAAGAAAUCCAUCUGGUUAAUACCCGGGUGGGAUGACGGUACCCAAAGAAUAAGCACCGGCUAACUUCGUGCCAGCCGCCGCCGUAA
rnacentral:rRNA from 1 species